AUGAAUACACUGGGCCCAGUGUAUAUUAUUAUUCGUCAGCCAUUUCAUUUAGUAGAAUUUAGCCCUUGACCUUUGCUUGUGUCUUUUAGAACACUUAGUAUACCUAUUGGUAUAAUUAAUAUAAUUCGAUCGAAUGAUAUUUCACUUCUACUUUUAGGCUUAACUACUACCGCUUUAAUUUCUUUCUUAUGAUGACGUGAUGUCAUUCGUGAAUCUACUAUACAAGGCCAUCAUACAACAUUUGUUGUUAAAGGCCUUAAAAUCGGUGUAGGACUCUUCAUUAUUAGGGAGAUUUGUUUUUUUUUUCGCUUUUUUCUGAGCUUAUUUUCAUAGCAGGUUGGCACCUUCUGUUGAAAUUGGGUCUCAUUGGCCCCCUACAGGAAUUUACCCUCUUCAAGCAUUCCAAGUCCCACUUUUAAACACUUGUGUAUUGUUAUUAUCUGGUGUAUCAAUCACCUGAGCUCAUCAUGCCAUUGAGGAAAAACAAUUGGCGAGAGCACGGGAUGGAUUAGGAAUUACCUGUCUUCUGGGCUUGUACUUUUUAUUUUUACAAUAUGGUGAGUACCAAGAAACUUCUUUCACGAUAAGAGAUAGCGUUUAUGGGUCAUGUUUUUUUAUAGCGACUGGAUUCCAUGGACUUCACGUAGCAGUGGGGACUACAUUCCUUAUUGUGUGUUUCUUUCGGUUAAUUAAUUACCACUUUAGAUCAAAUCACCACGUUGGAUUCUUAGCUGCCGCAUGAUAUUGGCAUUUUGUUGAUGUGGUUUGAUUAUUCUUGUAUAUCAGAAUCUAUUGAUGGGGGUCAUAAUGAUAAAGAUAGCUUAAAAGUGAUGUAAAAGCAUUGAUUUUGUAAGUCAAAGAAUGUAAGGGUUUACUCUUUAUGAAUUAAUAUUUAAGAUAAGCUAAUCUCGAAGCUAUUGGGCCCAUAACCCAAAAAUGAUACAUAGUCUCUUAAAACCUCCUCAUUUUAUUCUAGUGAAGAUAUUAAAAUGAAAUAGCAAUUUGACAUGGAAUUUAUUGAGAAUCCAGCAAAAAACGUUAACUAAAUCUAGUAAUAGAAUUUUAGUGCAAUUUCAACGUAUUGUAACAAAUAAGGUGCCAGCAGUUGCGGUCAUACCUUAAACAAAUUUAAUAUCGUUAGAGUGGGACACAAAUGUAGGACUUUAAAAAAUUAAAAAGAUAGUAAAAUGUGUUUUAAUUAGUAUUAACUAACAAUGUCUGAAUUUGUUAAUCUAAAAUACCCGAAACUUUAUAAAAUUUAGUAAACUAGGAUUAGAUACCCUACUAUAAAAAGCAAAAAUUAAAACUCUAAGCACUAAAACCGAAUUAUGGUUAAAACUUAAAGAUUAUGGCGGCAGUCUAAAUUAUUCAGGGGAACUUACCAGAUAAUAGAUAACCCCCAAGCAAUUCUACUUAACUUAAUAGUUUAUAUAUUGCCGUUUAGGACUUACUUAAAGUAUGCCCAAUCAUUUGUUAAACAAAUUUAAUACAGGUCAUAGUGUAGCAAAUAGUUAAGCCGUUGAGGUGAGUUACAAUAUUAUUUUUUUUCAGGUGUGAUCUUAAAGAGAUCACAAAUAGUUGGACUUGAAAGUAAAGAUACUUUAUACUAUAAUGAUUAAAUCUUGAAUACUAUAUUAGAUUGUGCACAAAUCGCCCGUCACUCUCGUAAUUUACAACAAAACAAACGAGAUAAGUCGUAACACAGUAGGUGUAAAUGAAUUUGUACCU